ACGGUGCCGGCGGAGUUGCCGGGGACGAGCUUGAGUUGCAUGUCGAUCUUGCCGAAGAGGUACUCGUGCUUGGACUGGAACCCGGAGCCGGAGACCUUGUCCAGGCCCAGCGUCAGCAGCUGGCCAUUGUUGAGGAUCUUGCCGCGCCCGUCACCCCAGGUAACGUCGAACUCCUUGUCGAAGCUCGCCGCCGCCAGGGCGCAAGUGGCGAGGAGGAUCGAAAGCACCGAGACCGCCAUGCGAGCCAUGCGUUUCGUAAGCUAGCUAGGUUGAUUGAUGAGGACAAAGCUGGAUGGAUGGAAGGAAGAUUGUGUUUGUGUGAGUGGAAUGAGCGGCGCGUGAGGGGUUUAUAUAGGGGUUUGUAGAAAAGCGUGGCGUGCCAUAUGGAUGGGAACUUGGCCAGCCCGGUAGGCGUAAUGCGUGUGAGUUGGCGCCAGAGGAGAGGAGACAUGGCAGGCAGGACCGGCUCUGUACGUAGCGCGUGAUGGACAAUGAGAGGUUGGCACGGCGAUGCCACGGGCAGACAGCCUCGCGUACGUACAGUAUAGCACAUUAAAACCGAUCGAGACGUGCAGCAGAUUGCUGGAUGCAACGGCUCCUAACUUCUGUAGCCGUGGCCCUGCGUUUUACAGGCAAGUGUCACUAGAUCAGCUUUUUAAUGGACGGAGAACUGUGGACGGAUGAUCAGCUUUUUCUUCUUCCUCCGACCUCCGGUAUGUGAAUAACUGUGGACGUGUUGGUCCUGUUUCCUGACUUUUCAGAAGACAUCCGUGACCAAUUUUCAGGCCCCAAGUGUUUUGUAACUCCAAGAUGAGAUUCUACGAUUACUGCACAAAAAAAAUGAGAUUCUACAAUCAUCACAAUGGUAUGCUACCAGCAGUCUUUCGUGUUGACACCGGAGGUUUCAUUCCUCAUGCACUUCCACUACUUUUGCAUAAAAAUAUUAUAUAUCUUGUUCAUGUUAUUUCAUAGAGUAUAUAGCAAAAAGCUACUAUAUUGCAGGUUUUGAUCAUAGAAAAAUACCAUUUUUCUAAUCUUUCAAAAAACUACCACAAAAGUGGUGUGUUGUUUCAAAAAACCCUAGUGACCGACCGGUGCCAUUUUAAGUGCUCUUAUGAUAUGUAGGGCCCGCCCGUCGGGGAUUUGUCGGCCAGGCGCUGACGGAGCCCGUGCGGACGACUGUUAGGUCGACCCGUUCCGACCGCGGUCAAAGCGACCGACCCGGCUCACUCUCUCUCGCUCGCACUCACUCUCACUUUCUCCACUCGCUCUUUGCUCCCCUGCCCCGAGCUCGCCAUAGCAGCCGACCACCUCUCUUUCUCGUCGCCGGCAAGGAUGCCUUCUUGGAAUGAUGGGGAUGAGAGCUCCGACGACGACAGCAUGGUUGUCAGCCUGAUGGACAUGGAGUACUUUGUAAGUUACAUCCUCUCCCUCUGCCAUUAUUUAGGAUUAGGGUUAGGUUUCCUUCGAUUUGAGAUUCAGGGUUCAUGAUCUGCAACUAUGGAUGGAUUCUUUGGUUGAUUCUUUGGUUUGGUUGAUGGAUCUGCAGAUAUUGGAUGCAUUUUCUGACUGGUUUACUUUCUACUGUGUGUAGGACACACGUGACACCAUCCCCGAGCCACUGUUCCGUGGUGCUCCCAUGGAGGAGGUUCCCAAAUGCACACUGCACGAGAUGAUGCCUAGGAAGUGUGUUUCUUUCGAAGGAGCUAACACUCGAAGGAGGUUUUAUGGAUGCCCUGUACAGGUGGGUGUGAGUAAGCACCAACAAUUGUUUUGCUAAGUGUGUUGUCUGAGUGAAGCGAAUUAAAUUUUGAUUUUACAACUAUUGUUUGAUUGAACGGGGAGGUGUGAACUGUGAUGUAGUUUAGUGGGUUGACCCUGUCUAGUCUAAUGUACUUAAGAACUGCCACAUCAAGUUGUGGGAAAUGUUUCAUGAGCAAAACCUUGACAGGAUUCAAUACAAGCAUGCAUAUGAUGAUGAGGUUGCCAAGUUGAAGAAGGGGCAUGAUCAUCUCUACACUGAGUAUCACAAAAUGGUUGAUGAUUUUAGCAAGACGUUUGAUUGGCGGGAUGGUAUUGGGAAGAUGGACUACCAUAAAGCAGUGGAUGCUCGGAAAUAUGAGAAGAAGAAGGAAGAGCUAGAGAUGGAGAUGAAGAUUGAGAAGCUUAGGCUAGAAAGGAGCAGAAGUGUAUCAUGAAGGCCCACGCAGACAUAAUUCAAAACACCAUGAAGGCUAUGAAAGAGAUGAAGGUGGACAGGGAUCUUCUUGCACUAGAGAAGAAAGAGCUGGAGAAAGUUGUUGCUGAUCUGCUGAAUGCUGGCCAUGGGAGCAAGGAAAAGCUUGAGAAAAUCAAGGCCAUACUUGAGGCUUGAAGAUUUGCACAAUGGUGGUUAAGUAACUAAGUUGGCCUACAUAUAUAACAGGCCUUGCAAGAUGAUGGUAGGAGUAUAUUUUGUGCAAUCCUAUAUGAGUUGUUUAAGUUAUGGUAAUGGAGAUUGUAACUGGAGUGAUGGUACUCAGUUGAGAACCUAUGCUAAGUGUUGGUUAUGUUAAUUGGUGAACUUUAUGCUACUAGUAAGAACAUAUCUUUACUAAUGCAGUGAAGAACUGUUUUAUUUGGAUUUAUUAUCUUUCUAUGUAUGAUGCAAUCUAUCUAUGUAUGAUGCAAUGUAUGGUGCAAUGUAUGAAUGUGGUGUAAGAAGUUUGUUCAAUUAUCUACCUAUUUGUAUGAAUGAUUUGCUUUGGUAAGUUGAAAAAUACACACAACAACAACCAUCAUCAACAUCAUCAUCUCACCAUAAUCCGAGAACAAUAAGUAUCAUCAACAUCAUAAUCUCACCAUAAUCUCACAACAACAAGUUACAAAAAUCCAGACACAAUUGAGCAUGUUGGGCAUGCCAAACAAGCAUAGUUCAUGGCAUAACACAUAACAAUUUAUUACAAAUAAGUUAGUGGUGGUUGGCACUCGGUGUAAAAUACUCCUCCCACGUGCUUGGGGCCUUCCUCUGCCUCUUUGAGCCAGGCACAGGUUGAGCUGAUGUUGGUCCUGCCUUUGGAGAAUUGAAUCUGGUGUUACUGGUUGGUGCUGCUAGUCUAACUGCCGACCUUGUGUUUUUGGCUCGAGAUGUUGCACUAGACCUGGUGUUAUUUGCUGGUGUUGAAGAUGUGAUCUUUCUCUUUCUUGAUCCUGCUGUAGAGGCUGGAGUAGCACUAGCUGAUGCUAUUGAUGCAGUUUUGGUUGCCCUAGUUUGUGCCCUCGGUGGAUAGGUAGUAGGUGUUGCUCUUGGUGUAGUUUUGGUGGCCCUAGUUGCUGGUGUUGUACUUGCACUAGCUUUGGGUGCCCCAGUAGCAACAUUAGGUGGACCUGAAGCAGUAGGGGCUCUGGAUGAUCCUGGAGCAACACUAGGUGGCGUUGUUGGUUGAUACAUCUCCAACAUAUCUACUUUUCCAAACUCUUUUGACCUUGUUUUCGACUCUAAUUUGCAUGAUUUGAAUGGAAGUAACCCGGACUAACGCUGUUGUGAGCAGAAAUAAAAUUUCCCGGAUUGACCUGAAAAUUCAUGCAGAAUAUUUUUGGAAUUAAUAAAAAAUAUUGGUGAAAGAAUCAACUCAAGAGGGGUCACCACCUAUAACACCCAAGAUGCGAUCCUAUCCUUAUUUAGGCACGAGGGCCUCGACAGGGAUAGAAGCGCAUUUCGUCGUUUCGCAAGAAUGAAUAUCGUUACAAGUACAUGUACUGAAGAGAAGUAUAUGUAUUUAGCUUACACUCACCACAAGCUACAUCAGAGUCACAUCAGUACAAUAUAUAUAAACAUCAUGAAGAAGAGCAGGGUCCGACUACAGACGAAACCAAACGAGAAAAGAAAACGACGUCCAUCCUUGCUAUCCUAGGCUGCCGGCUGGAACCCAUCCUAGAUCGAUGAAGAAGAGGAAGAAGAAGCAACUCCAAAUGAACAAUCAACGCGCUCGCGUCAAGUAACCUUUACCUGUACCUGCAACUGGUGUUGUAGUAAUCUGUGAGCCACAGAGGACUCAGCAAUCUCAUUUCCAAAGGUAUCAAGACUAGCAAAGCUUAAUGGGUGAGGUAUGGUUAAGUGGUGAGGUUGCAGCAGCGUCUAAGCAUUAUAUGAGAUGGCUAACUUACGAGUACAAGAAUAAAGAGGGGGAUGAUCUACGCAUUGCAGACGUGAUCUACUCAUGAUCAAAUGAAUUAUCCUGAACACCUACUUACGUCAAACAUAACCCCACCGUGUUCUCGAUCGGAGAAGGAACUCGAGAAAGAGGCAGUCACGGUUAUGCACUCAGUUGGCAUGUUUUAACUAAAUUAACUUCAAGUUGUCUAGAACCAGCGUUAACCAAAGUUUCCACGUUAACCAACUAGUCCAUCACAAAUUACCACAAGCCGCAUAGAAAUCCUCGAUCACGAAACUCGCGAUCUCGUCGGACUGCUUAGUGGAAAACCUCAACUCUGAAUUACCCAAAGCAUCACCGGAAUCCCGAUGCACAAUAUAUCUCGUAAAAGCUAAAACUAAUCCAGCAAGGCCACCUAGUGUGUCGACGAACCCAAUAGGAGCCGCGUAUCUCGUUCUUAGGACACACCGUCUAUGCAUAGUGGACGGUAGCCAAACACUCGAGUUGCCCCGAGGUGGCACCGCCGACUGCUAGGUGGGUGGACCAACACUCAUGCGGAGCACUCGCCGAGGGGGGGGGGUUGAUUAAUUACCCUCGGGGUCCGGAAAGUCCCUAUGCAAUUUUAUUAGGUUAUUAGGCAAAUGUAAAACCAAUUUUGGGCCUUGCCAGACCAGCUUUAAUCAAAAACGAAUUAUCAAGGGGGUCCCCAUAACAACCCCGAUCGUGUUAGGAGCGCUCAAUUAUGGAACAUAACACUGGUAGCCGAAACUAAGGGGGAAAAGGUGGAACAAAACACCAGGCUAGAAAGGCCGAGCCUUCCACCUUUUACCAAGUAUAUAGGUGCAUUAAUUUAAAUUGCAUUAAUAGGGUGAUAUAACAAAGAACCCAUGUUAUCACAUGGAAGCAACUACACCUGCAACUAGCAGCGCUAACACAUGGUUAAAAAAGCGGUAACAUAGCCAAUCAGUGGUUUGCUAGGUUGUGAACAGGUUGAAGGUUUUCAUGGCAAUGUUGAGAGGCUGAUAUUUAACAGGUGGUAGGCAACGAGACAUAGCGACAGAAACGAUAAUACUAGCAUGGCAAUAAUAGUAAUGGUAUCUGGGGAAAUGGUCAUCUUGCCUGAGAUCCCGCUUGGAAGAAGAACGACUCUUUGAAGCAGACGAACCGAUGUAGUCGAAUGGGUCCUCACUUUCCAACACGCUUGCGGAAUUCUAUCGAGACGGGGGAAACCAGAAACAAGAAUCAACACACGAUAUUCCCCACACGAUGCACAACACAUAUGAUGCAUGAACGGUUGGACAUAUGCAAGACAUGGCAUGGCAAUUCACAACAAUCAAAGACUACACAUUAAGUGAAUUUCAAUAUGUAACGAGUUGCAUAUUGACGAAACUCCACAUACGAAUUAUUUAGUUCUAUUCCGAUUAGAUACAUGGCAGUAUUAAAGGUGGAUAAACAUGGCAAGAGGUGAGGCGUAAUUAAACUACCUAUCUAGACAUUUUAAAUGAGGUCGGAAAUGACCUAUAGGACCUCCGAAACGUCCUCACGUGUUAAUUUAUAAUUCUGUCCAGAUCUGAACUAACAUAUUUUAAUAUAUUUGUUAAACAGCAAAAUAAAUAGGUUCACAUGAUUCUACGCGUCGUUACAAUCAAUUUACGCAUAGAGAACAUCUCCAACGGAGCUACAGAUCAAAAGAUACGAACACCGCAAGAUAUGAUGGCAUGAAUGCAAUAUGUGUGCAAAUGGCAUCCACAACAUUUCAAAACACACAACCAACAAGAUAAUAUGAAACUACAUGAGAUUCUAAGAAAGUUUCAUAUAGGACACGAUCAAAACGGAGAAACGGUUCAACAACUACGAGGUAAACAAGAAAUCACUACAAUCUGCCAAAAUCAGCCACACAACAUUUUCUACACCCCACAACUACGAGCUACACAAAUCCAAAUUGCUUAAACAAGGCAUGAGACAGUAGAGGGCAAGACGCACUACAACAUACAACUAAUAGCACCUAGCAUGGAAGCAUGCAUCACUAGGAAAAGAAGUCACAAAAAGGUUGCUCACACGCAGUUUCAGACUUAGCAAAAAACACAGUUUACGAAAGUGCAGUUUUCGAUCUGAAGGCAUAUUGACAGCAGCAAAACCAUGAGCUACAUGACUCCAAAUGACAUGAAAAUUUACAGCGUGCUAGACAAUCCUAAAGUAUACAACCUACUCCAUUGCACCAACCUCAAAAGAGCUACAGAUCACGAGAUAAACUCAUGACAAGACAACAACAAAAUAUAACAGAUUUCAGACUUAUAAAUAUUUCAGCAUCUCCAAAACAACACUAUUUCCUAGCAAGUUGAGAACAAACAAACCACACCUAAACAUGGAUUUAUAUUGCAACCAAAAUUACUAGAGGCUAGCCUACACAUCCAAGGGCAUAUCUCUAGUUGACAACUCCUUCAUAUCACGCACGGAUUAAAUCCCACAAAAUAAGCAAAAGGGUAACAUGGCAAAAUAUCAAGCGAACUAACUUGCUCAAAAGCUAAAACUAAAUGCACAGUUAAAUUCUAUGGAUUUUUCUACCCCGAAAACAUAUAUAACAUGUGGGGUUUGCAAAAUGAAAUAACGCCACACGAAUAUGUGAAAAUAUGUCCUAAGCAAGAUAUAACAAACUAGCGACGAAAUCCUACAUGCAAAAAUACAAACAACCACUCUAAAAUACAUGGAAAAAGGUCCCUAAAAACAUGAGAAUUUUAUCUACGGGAUUUGAGCAAUCCGGACACACACGGAAAUAACUACGGAAUAAAUCCCUAUUAGGACAGCACGGAAAACUAGGUAUUUGGAGGGUCAAACUACUUCAAACAUGCAUGCAAGUUGCAAAAUAUCAAUCUAAGCGGAAAACUACAUAAGAUCCAUAUACAAUAUGUCGCGAUCCGAUACACGGUUUAAUAUCUACGGGCAUUUUAAAAAUAUGAGUUUUUCUGAAAUUAAAUAAAAUCACAGGUGCUAAAAAAACACUAAUGGCCCGAAACAGGGGGCACGGGAAGGCUAUGUGGCGCCCAGGGCAAGGGAUAGGAGCAGCGGGGUCGCUCACCUUGGGCUGGGGAGAUGGGCCUCGGCGAGGCAGGCCUAGGGGCGGCGCUGCGGGGAGAGUCGAGCUGGGCCUCGGCUGCAGGGCGUUGACUGGGCUGAUCUGGCGGCGGCUCGGCUGGGCCGAAGGGCGCUGGCGAGCCCUGCGUCGUCCCGUGUCGAUCCCGAGCGGGACGAACGAGCGGCGGUGCAGCGCAUCGGCCACGGCGGCCGACGGGGCAUGCGCAGGCGGGGUCUUCGCCGGCUCGCCGGCUGUGGCUGCGGCCGGUGGCCGAGCGGCUGCUGCGCGGGAGGGGGAGGCAGCUUGGGAGUUGGCCGGCGGCGCUUAGGCGAGGGGAGGCACUCCGGUGACCCGGGGCUUCGGCCGGAGAUGCACGCGCGGCGCUGACCGGCAUCGGCGGCGACAGCUGCUACUCGGAAUGGGGCUGCGGCUACGGCUGCUGCUCGGAAUGGGAUCGGCUUCUCUACGGGCACCCAGACAUGUCCGAGUUGGCCGCCGACAUGUCCGGUAGGUGGGGAAUCUGGGCGACUCUGGGCCUUUGGAUGGAUAUCCAAUGGUCCAGAUCUGACGUGAGAUUGGAUUUCGGGGAGAGAGGAGGUGGAGCUAGCAGGUGGGUUUUUUCUAGGGGGGUGGCUGCAAAAAUGGCUAGGGGAAACCCUAAUGGAGUGAGAGUGGUCUCUCCAUGGGGUGGUGCUUAUAUAGGGUUGGGCUAUGGUGGGGUGGACCUCGUCCGUCCGAUCACGAUCCGACAACCACGAACGAAGGAAGUAGCUAGAUGGGUCUAGUGGGCUAUGUAGUUGGACUAUGUAGGGAUGAGAGGGAAAUGGUGCGGCCCGUGGCAACGCGAAUUAAAAUACCGAAAACGUCCGACGCUAGACCGGAGACGAUGCCGCUACGGUCGACCGUUCGGGUACCAGACGGACUUCGAUUGCGACGAAAUUUGACAGGCGGCCUACCUAUAUUAAAAUAAGACCACACAUCAAGUUCCAACCCAAUCAGAGAAAGUUUUACACACACUUUUAAAACAAGAUUUUGACGAUGCUGCGGGCGCGUGCGAGUACGGUCGGGCUCCGAACGGACAACGACGGGAACCAGCAACUAACAACGGAUGCAAGUUUGAAAACUGGCGGCAACGGGAUGCCGAUGCAAUGCAGAUGAUCCGCAUGAUGUGAUGAUGAUGCAAUAAAUAAAAUAAGUCACACGACGAAAACGGAAUAGAAGGGGAAUCUUCUGGAAUGUCGGUCUCGGGCUGUCACAACUCUUCUACACUACAAGAGGAUCUUGACUCGAGAUCCAAGAAUGAAACAGGAAGAGGAAGAGAAAGCAAGAGGUAAAACUUAGUCGCUUCUUUGACAAACGAGUGAAACCAACGAUCCUUCAAGGUUGCAAAGCGAUGAGGAAUGAUAUGAGAAAGAAGCAAGAAUUCACAGAAAAUUUCGGCAGCACAUCGGUAAGAAAAGGGAACAAAAAUUCGAUAAGAUGAAAGAACUAGACAAAAUUCACAACCAACAACUGAAUUGAACACGGGACCAACAUGAUCUUGAUAGAACAAGAUGAGAGAUUGAAGAGAGCAACAUCACAAAGCCUCCGUUAUAAAGAAUAGAAACUAGCUCUUGGCAAGAGAAGAACGAAGAAGAAUUAAGAACUACUACCACAAGAAUCUUGAAGAACACCUUGAGACAAAGAAUUCAUAUCAUGAGCCACUCCACAAGAAGAAUUCAGAACACUACGAACAAGAAUAAUAAUUAUGUUAUGCUUAUCCUUCAUCAAGUUUAAUUGAUGACAAGCAACGGAUUUAGCAUACCCCUUAUUCUUCUAGAAAUGAUUGAGGAGAGAUAUGAGCACAAACUUGAAGAAAUCUUGAAAGAGACACCGGUAAGAAUUGGAUUGACUAGGGAUAUAACAAAAAUGAAUGCAGAUACAUGAGAAUGAAAAGAUCACGAGCCAUCUAAUAGAAAACUUGAAUGAGGCACCGGAAUAAAUGAGAGACAAAAGAAGAGACAACAAUUGAGAAGAAUUUGAGGAUGAAAGAUGAAACCUGAGAACGAAAAAUUCUUCUGAAAUGAUGGCCUUCAGAGGAUCGAGAAUGAAACCAACUCAGAAAUGCACCGGAUAGCAAGAAAGGGAUCGCUCAUGAUCGAAAACAACCGAGAGGAUAACAUGAAGCUGAGAUGACAACCUUUAAAAGAAUGAACCAAGAUUUGAGAGAAACACUCCUUCGGUCUUCAAUGGAGAAAAUAAUGACGAGAAACAACACCAAUGAUACUGAGACACUCCGGAAUAAUGAAGAAUGAAAGUUUGAGCCAAAGACGAGAAACAAUUCAAAUUGAUCUUGAAGAAGGUAUAUGACUGAUGAAAUUCAUACUUACGUCAUAGUUGAAAAGAACAAGAGAUCUCCGGAAAAGAUUACAAGAGCCAGAUAAGAUCCUCGGAAAACCUAUGGGUUAUGGGCCCACUCAAAGAAACCACCGUUGAAAAGAUUGCUUAGAAAGCGAGAUAUUGCAUCGGUACAAAUGAAAACUAGAUGAGGUGAGGCCCUCGAAAUAAUUGAAGGAUUGAGAACAAGAACUUCUGAAAUAUCUUCAAAACUCCGGAUAGGAAGAGAGAGGAAUGAAUAAACAAAAUAGGCUGAUAAGAAUUUCCAACAUAGGAAAGAAUUACAAGGAUGAAAAGGAUAUGAUGAACACGGAUAACUGAACUGAAUUCACCGAAAAAGUCCACAAGAAUGAAUAAAGAUGAACACAAAGCUCCUGAGAAUCUUCACAAUGAAUCACCGGAUAAAAGAGAAAAGAACAGAUAGCGGAAGCAACAAUAAAAUUAAAUGCACUUGGAUGAAAUCCAAUCACUCCAGAAAAGGGCGGGAGGGCGGGGAAAAACAAAGACAACUUGGGACAAAUGAGACAACUCCGGAAAGAAAAGAGAGAUUGAUCUUACAAAAUUGGAGAGGAUUGAAUUCACUUGAAGAGAAGCACACCGGUUGAAAAGACUUGACAUAACAACUCCAGUUGACAAGAAUUGAUAAGACAAUUGAUUGAGCAAAAGAAUUUGCAUUCACAUAAAAUAUGAGAACACUUCUUGGAAAAGAUAUGAAUUCACCACUUGAUGUCGAAGCAACUCGAAUUACCCUAUUCCAACAAAACAAAGAGUUGAAGCUUAUGAAACAAGCCAGAACAAAUUUAUGAGAGAGAUUCCGUCCGAUAUUUUCGUGGACAGGAUCGCAUAGGCUCGAUCCUUACAGUAGCCAUCCUGUGCAAGGCAGUGCACACGACAUACGAAGCAUCCCCGAGUCGUAGCAAGCUACAAGGACUCUUUAAGACACAACGAGAACCGCUGUAAGUCGACCGUGAACAAAAAAAUCCACUAAAUGUGGAACCCCAACCUAACAUCAUGCAUUUGUUGGAAGAUUGUCCUAUAAGUAACUACUAUAAUUCCCACCUAAGAACUCCCGAAAUAUCUGGUCAUGCAAUCUGGUCCACGGAUACAAGGAGUAAUAUAUCACUCAACUCCUAUACUAACCCGUCCAAUGUAUCACAUCCGUCAACACAUAACCAGAAUCUCGGAACCUCAUCUAUUUCAUACACUCGGAAUCACAACGAUACAAAGUAUGGCGAUACAUCCAGAACUCUCUGCACCAGUACUGGGAAGCCGGACUCCUCUCGCCACUACUAGUAUUGAAGCAAUUUCGAACAUCCUUCAUCCUGAGAUAUUAAGAAAUCUGAAUGAUAGAGAUGUGCUCAAGAAUCCCGUGGAGCUCAACUCCCCGGAAGAAAUCAAGUUAGACAGGAGGCAACAAGACAAAACUCCAUCACAUCAACAUCAUAUAGAUUCCAAAAAUAUCCGCGUGAUCCUAAAUUUUUUUGGAGUGAGAAGAGGAGUAGAAUUGAAAUUAUUACAUCAGGAAUCCUCACCAGAGCAUAGAAGAGGAGAAAAAAGAAUCCUACCUCCGAUAUAUAACUAGACUCAAAGCAAUUUUUCACUAGACUCGACUCGGCCAAGUUCGUUCAAUCAAGGGGGCUCCUAGGUCGGUACUGCUCUGAUACCAACUUGUAACGCCCAAGAUGCGAUCCUAUCCUUAUUUAGGCACGAGGUCCUUGACAGGGAUAGUAGCGCAACUCGUCGUUUCACAAGAAUGGAUAUCGUUACAAGUACAUGUACUGAAGAGAAGAGUAUAUGGAUCUGGCUUACACUCGCCACAAGCUACAUCAGAGUUACAUCAGUACAAUAUAUAUAAACAUCAUGAAGAAGAGCUGGGUCCGACUACGGACGAAAACAAAUGAUAAAAGAAAAUGACGUCCAUCCUUGCUAUCCCAGGCUGUCGGCCUAGAACUCAUCCUAGAUCGAUGAAGAAGAGGAAGAAAAAGCACCUCCAAAUGAACAAUCAACGCGCUCGCGUCAAGUAACCUUUACCUGUACCUGCAAAUGGUGUUGUAGUAAUCUGUGAUCCACAAGGGACUCAACAAUCUCAUUUCCAAAUGUAUGAAGACUAGCAAAGCUUAAUGGGUGAGGUAUGGUUAAGUGGUGAGGUUGCAGCAGCGUCUAAGCAUUAUAUGAGGUGGCUAACUUACGAGUACAAGAAUAAAGAGGGGGAUGAUCUACGCAUUGCGGACACGAUCUACUGAUGAUCAAAUGAAUGAUCCUGAACACCUACUUACGUCAAACAUAACCCCACCGUGUUCUCGAUCGGAGAAGGAACUCGUGAAAGAGACAGUCACGGUUACGAACUCAGUUGGGAAGUUUUAAUUAAAUUAACUUCAAGUUGUCUAGAACCAGUGUUAAACAAAGUUUCCACGUUGCCACAUAACCGUGGGCACAACUUUCUAAAAAGAUUUAACCCUACAGGGGUGCUCCAACUAGUCCAUCAGAAAUUACCACAAGCCACAUAGAAAUCCUCGAUCACGAAACUCGCGAUCUCAUCGGACUCCUUAGUGGAAAACCUCAACUCUGAGAUUACCCAAAGCAUCACCGGAAUCCUGAUGCACAAGAUAACUCGUAAGAGGUAAAACUAAUCCAGCAAGGCCGCCUAGUGUGUCGAUGAACCCGAUAGGAGCCGCGUAUCUCGUUCUCAGGACACACCGUCUAUGCAUAGUGGACGGUAGCCAAACGCUUCAGUUGCCCCGAGGUGGCACCGCCGACUGCUAGGUGGGUGGACCAACACUCUUGCGGAGCACUGGCCCCCCCGGGGGGGGGGGGGGUGAUUAAUUAUCCUCGGGGUCCGGAAAGUCCCUAUGCAAUUUUAUUAGGUUAUUAGGCAAAUGUAAAACCAAUGUUGGGCCUUGCCAGACCAGCUUUAAUCUAAAACGAAUUAUCAAGGGGGUCCCCCUAACAACCCCGAUCGUGUUAGGAGCGCUCAAUUAUGGAACAUAACACCGGUAGCCGAAACUAAGAGGGCAAAGGUGGAACAAAACACCAGGCUAGAAAGGCCGAGCCUUCCACCUUUUGCCAAGUAUAUAGGUGCAUUAAUUUAAAUAACAUUAAUAGGGUGAUAUAACAAAGAACCCAUGUUAUCACAUGGAAGCAACUGCACCUGCAACUAGCAACGCUAACACAUGGUUAAGCAAGCAGUAACAUAGCUAAUCAGUGGUUUGCUAGGUUGUGAAGAGGUUGAAGGUUUUCAUGGCAAUGUUGAGAGGCUGAUAUUUAACAUGUGGUAGGCAACGAGACAUAGCGACAGAAACGAUAAUACUAGCAUGGCAAUGAUAGUAAUGGUAUCUGGGGAAAUGGUCAUCUUGCCUGAGAUCCUGCUUGCAAGAAGAACGAAUCCGUGAAGCAGACGAACCGAUGUAGUCGAACGGGUCCUCACUUUCCCACACGCUUGCGGAACUCUAUCAAGACGGGGGAAACCGGAAACAAGAAUCAACACACGAUAUUCCCCACACGAUGCACAACAUAUACGAUGCAUGAAUGGUUGGACAUAUGCAAGACAUGGCAUGGCAAUUCACAACAAUCAAACACUACACAUUAAGUGAAGUUAAAUAUGCAACGAGUUGCAUAUUGACGAAACUCCACAUCGAAUUAUUUAGUUCUAUCCCGAUUAGGUACACGGCAGUAUUAAAUGUGGUUAAACAUGGCAAGAGUUGAAUCAUAAUUAAAUUACCUAUCUAGAUAUUUUAAAUGAGGUCGGAAAUGACAUAUAACACCUCUGAAAUGACCUCACAUGUUAAUUUAUAAUUCUGUCCAGAUCUGAACUAACAAGUUUUAAUAUAUUUGUUAAAUAUCAAAAUAAAUAGGUUCACGUGAUUCUACGCGUUGUUACAAUCAAUUUACACAUAGAGAACAUCUCCAACGGAGCUACAGAUCAAAAGAUACGAACACCACAAGAUAUGAUGACAUGAAUGUAGUAUGUGUGCAAAUGGCAUCCACAACAUUUCAAAACACACAACCGGCAAGAUAAUAUGAAACUAUACGAGAUUCUAAUCAAUUUUCAUAUAGGACACGAUCAAAACGGAGCAACGGUUCAACAACUACGAGGUAAACAAGAAAUCACUACAAUCUGCCAAAAUCAGCCACAUAGCAUUUUCUACACCCCACAACUACGAGCUACACAAAUCCAAAUUGCUCAAACAAGGCAUGAGACAGUAGAGGGCAAGAGCACUACAACAGACAACUAAUAACACCUAGCAUGUAAGCAUGGAUCACUAGGAAAAGAAGACACAAAAAGGUUGCUCACACGCAGUUUCAGACUUAGCAAAAAACACAGUUUACGAAAGUGCAGUUUUCGAUCUGAAGGCAUAUUGACAACAGCAAAACCAUAAGCUACAAGACUCCAAAUGGCAUGAAAAUUGACAGCUUGCUAGACAAUCCUAAAGUCUACAACUAACUCCAUUGCACCAACCUCAAAAGAGCUACAGAUCACCAGAUAAACUCAUGACAAGACAGCAACAAAAUAUAACAGAUUUCCAACUAGAAAUAUUUCAGCAUCUUCAAAACAACACUGUUUCCUAGCAAGUUGAGAAUAAGAAAACCACACCAAACCAUGGAUUUAUACUGCAACCAAAAUUACCAGAGGCUAGCCUACACAUCCAAGAGCAUAUCUCUAAUUGACAACUCCUUCAUAUCAUGCACGGAUUAUAUCCCACAAAAUAAGCAAAAGGGUAACAUGGCAAAAUAGCACGCGAACUAACUUGGUCAAAAGCUAAAACUAAAUGCACAUUUAAAUUCUAUGGAUUUUUCUAACCCGAAAACAUAUAUAACAUGUGGGGUUUGCAAAAUAAAAUAACGCCACACGAAUAUGCAAAACUAUGUCCUAAGCAAGAUAUAGCAAACUAGCGACGAUAUCCUACAUGCAAAAAUACAAACAACCACUCUAAAGUACAUGGAAAAAGGACCCUAAAAAUGAGCAUUUUAUCUACAGGAUUUGAGCAAUCCGGAGACGCACGAAAAUAACUACGGAAUAAAUCCCUAUUAGGAUAGCACGGAAAACUAGGUAUUUGGCAGGUCAAACUACUUCAAACAUGCAUGCAAGUUGCAAAAUAUUAAUUUAAGCAAAAAACUACACAAGAUCCAUAUACAAUACGUCGCGAUGCGAUACACGGUUUAAUAUCUAUCGGCAUUUUAAAAAUAUGCGUUUUUUUUAAAUUAAAUAAAAUCACACGUGCUAAAAAAACACUAAUGGGCCGAAACAGGGGCACGGGAAGGCUAUGUGGCGCCCAGGGCGAGGGAUAGGAGCAGCGGGGUCGCUCACCUUAGGCUGGGGAGAUGGGCCUCGGCGAGGCAGGCCUCAGGGCGGCUCUGUGGGGAGAGGCAACCUGGGCCUCGGGGGCGCCUGCUCGGCCUUGGCUGCAGGGCGUCGGCUGGGCCGAAGGGCGUUGGUGAGCGCAGUGUCGUCCCAUGCUUGAUCCCGAGCGGGACGAACGAGCGACGACGCAGCGCAUCUGCCACGGCGACCGGCGGGGCACGGGCAUGCGGGGUCUUCGCCGGCUUGCCGGCUGUGGCUGCGGCCGGUGGCCGAGCGGCUGUUGCGCGGGAGGGGCAGGCAGCUCGGGAGUUGGCCGGUGGCGCUCCGGCAAGGGGAGGCACUCCGGAGACCCGGGGCUUCGGCCGGAGAUGCAUGCGCGGCGCUGACCGGCACCGGCGGCGACAGCCCACGGGCAGCGAGCGCCAUGGGGCUGCGGCUACGGCUGCUGCUCGGGAUGGGAUGGGCUUCUCUACGGGCACCGGGACGUGUCCGAUUUGGCCGCGGACAUGUCCGACAGGUGGGGAAUCUGGGCGAAUCUGGGCCUUUGGAUGGAUAUCCAAUGGUCCAGAUCUGACCUGAGAUUGGAUUUCGGGGAGAGUGGAGGUGGAGCUAGCAGGUGGCUUUUUUCUAGGGGGGUGGCUGCAAAAAUGGCUAGGGGAAACCCUAGUGGAGUGAGAGAGGUCUCUCCAUGGGGUGGUGCUUAUAUAGGGUUGGGCUAUGGUGGGGUGGACCUCGUCCGUCCGAUCGCGAUCCGACGACCACGAACGAAGGAAGUAGCUAGAUGGGUCAAGUGGGUUGUGUAGUUGUACUAUGUAGGGAUGAGAGGGCAAUGAUGCGGCCCGUGGCAACGCGAAUUAAAAUACCGAAAAUCGUCCGACGAUAGACCGGAGACGGUGCCGCUACGGUUGACCAUUCGGGUACUAGACGGACUCUGAUUGCGAUGAAAUUUGACAGGCGACCUACCUAUAUUAAAAUAAGACCGCGCGUCAAGUUCCAACCCAAUCAGAGAAGGUUCUACACACACUUUUAAAACAAGAUUUUGAUGAUGCCAAGGGCGCGUGCGAGUGCGGUCGGGCUCCGAACGGACAACGACGAGAAUCGGCAACUAACAAAGGAGGCAAGUUUGAAAACUGAUGGCAACGGGAUGCUGAUGCGAUGCAGAUGAUGCACAUGAUGCGAUGAUGAUGCGACAAAUAAAAUAAGUCACACAACGAAAAGGGUAUAGAAGGGGAAUCAUCUGAAACGUCGGUCUUGGGCUAUCACACCACCAGCCCACAAGCCUGCAGGGCGCGCCCCUGGCUUGUGGGGCCCCUGUGGCUCCUCCGACCUCGUUUCCACUUCUAUAUAUUCCUAUUCAGGGAGAAAAAAAUCACACAGAAGAUUUCAUUGUGUUUUAUGAUACGGAACCGCUGCCACCUCGUGUUCUUCCUCGGGACGGCAGAUCUGGAUUCUGAUUUGGGCUCCAGAGAGGGGAAAUCGACGCCGUCAUCAUCACCAACCAUCCUUCAUCACCAAUUUUAUGAUGCUCUCCACCGUUCAUGAGUAAUUCCAUCAUAUGCUUGCUGGGCGGUGAUGGGUUGGAUGAGAUAUAUCAUGUAGUCGAGUUAGUUUUGUUAGGGUUUGAUCCCUAGUAUCCACUAUGUUCUAAGAUUGAUAUUGCUAUGACUUUGCUAUGCUUAAUGCUUGUCACCAGGGCCCGAGUGCCAUGAUUUCAGAUGUGAACCUAUUAUGUUUUCAUGAAUAUAUGUGUGUUCUCGAUCCUAUCUUUCAAGUUGUAGACACCUACUACGAGUUAUGAUCCGCAUCCCCCAGGGUGACAAUAACUGUGAUUCUUUCCAAUGAUUACCGUAGUUUGAUGAGUUCAUGUAUUCACUAAGUGCUAAUGAUUUGUUCCCGUUCUCUAUUAAAAGGAGGCCUUAAUAUCCCUUAGUUUCCAUUAGGACCCCGCUGCGACGGGAGGGUAGGACAAAAUAUGUCACGCAAGUUCUUUUCCAUAAGCACGUAUGACUAUAUAUGGAAUACAUGUCUGCAUUGCAUUGAUGAAUUGGAGCUAGUUCUGUAUCACCCUAUGUUUUGACUGUUGCAUGAUGAAUGCCAUCCAACAUAAUUAUCCAUCACUAAUACAUUUCCUAUGAGCUUUCCUCAUAUUGAUCUUUGCUAAUUUACUUUUCCAUUGCUAUUGUUACAAUCACUACAAAACUGCUAUUGUCACAUUUGCCACCGUUACCGUUACUUCCAUACUACUUUGAUACCAACCACUUUGCUACAGAUAUUAAGUCUUUCAGGUGUGGUUGAAUUGACAACUCAGCUGCUAAUUGAUACGUCUCCAACGUAUCUAUAAUUUUUGAUUGUUUCAUGUUAUUAUCUUCUGGGACUAACUUAUUAACUCAAUGCCAAGUGCCAGUUCCUGUUUUUUUUCAUGUUUUUGACCCCUUUCAGAGGAGAUUUUGAAACGGAGUCCAAACGGAAGAAAAUCAUCGAAAAGAAUUUUUUGGAACGAAAGAAGAUCGGAGAACUUGGGAGCCAAGCCAGAAGAGCCCCAGGUGCCCCACAAGCCCCCACCCCGCGGCCAGGGGGGCCCCACCAUCCAGGCUUGUGGGCCCCCUGGAGGUCCCCUGACCUAGUUCUUGUGCCUAUAUAUUCCCAAAGAAAUCAAGAGACGAUCGCAAUUACUUUUCUGCCGCCGCAAGCUUCUGUCUCCGCAAGAUCCCAUCUGGGGCACGUCCUAGUGCCCUACUGGAGGAGGGAUUCGGAUACGGAGGGCUUCUUCAUCAACACCAUGAUCUCUCUGAUGAUGCGUGAGUAGUUCACCAUAGACCUACGGGUCCAUAGCUAGUAACUAGAUGGCUUUUUCUCUCUCUUGGAUCUUCAAUACAAAGUUCUCCAUGGUCUUCAUGGAGAUCUAUCCGAUGUAAUCUUCUUUUGCGGUGUGUUUGUCGAGAUCCGAUGAAUUGUGGAUUUAUGAUCAGAUUAUCUAUGAAUCUUAUUUGAGUUUCUUCUGAUCUCUCUUAUGCAUGAUUUCAUAUCCUUGUAAUUCUCUUCGAGUUGUGGGUUUUGUCUGGCCAACUAGAUCUAUUAUUCUUUUAACGGGAGAAGUGCUUGCUUUUGGGUUCAUACCGUCGGUGACCUCACCCAGUGACAGAAGGGGUAGCCAGGCACGCAUCGUGUUGUUGCCAUCAAGGGUAAAAAGAUGGGGUUUUCAUCAUUGGUUUGAGAUUAUCCCUCUACAUCAUGUCAUCUUGCUUAAAGCGUUACUCUAUUUGUCAUGAACUCUAUACACUAGAUGCAUGCUGGAUAGCGGUCGAUGUGUGGAGUAAUAGUAGUAGAUGCAGAAAGUAUCGAUCUACUUGUCUAGGACAUGAUUCCUAUAUGAUAGAUCAUUGCCUUAGAUAUCGUCAUGACUUUGUACGGUUCUAUCAAUUGCUCGACAGUAAUUUGUUCACCCACCGUGAUAUUUGCUAUUAUGAGAGAAGCCUCUAGUGAACACUAUGGCCCCCAGGGUCUACUCCACACCAUAUUUUCAGCCUUAAACUUUUUACUUCGUUGCACUUUCCGCCUUCAGAUCUCACUUUGCAAACAAUCUUGAACGGAUUGACAACCCCUUUGAAGCGUUGGGUGCAAGCUUGUUUGUGUUUGCGCAAGUACUUUGGACUUGACGAGGCCCUGCUUCUGGUUCGAUACCUUGGUUCUCAAACUGAGGGAAAUAAUUACUGCUCGUGUGCUGCAUCACCCUUUCAUCUUGAAGGAAAAACCGACGCAAACCAGAGAAGUAACAAGAAGAAUUCCUAAGCACCAGGGAAGGACUUUUGUUGCCGCAGCAUUAAUACUCGAGAAUAUUCUUUGGCUCCCCUUGAGUCGAAUCAAUAAAUUUGGGUUGAAUAUUCUACCCUCGAAAACUGNNNNNNNNNNNNNNNNNNNNNNNNNNNNNNNNNNNNNNNNNNNNNNNNNNNNNNNNNNNNNNNNNNNNNNNNNNNNNNNNNNNNNNNNNNNNNNNNNNNNNNNNNNNNNNNNNNNNNNNNNNNNNNNNNNNNNNNNNNNNNNNNNNNNNNNNNNNNNNNNNGUUUUCGAGGGUAGAGUAUUCAACCCAAAUUUGUUGGUUCGCCAAAGGGGAAGCGAAAGAAUAUUCUCAAGUAUUAGCUGCUGAGUUUGUCAGAUUCAAUCACACCUGAAAGAUUAGUAUCUGCAAGCAAAGUAUCAGUAGCAAAGUGGUAUGAUAGCAACGGUGCCAGAAACGAUAUCUUGACGGUAGACUAUUCCUAACUGUUGUAUCAAUGGCGCCAGUAGGUAGCACGUGAGCGGAUAACUAUUCUUCCCCGACAACAGUGUCGGAAAAGAUCUUGCAACAAGUAACAACGAAGUAGCAAGGAACAGCAGUAGCAGCAGCAACAAAGUAACAGCAGUAGCAAUAGUAGUAGCAAAGUGGCCCAAUACCUUUUGUAGCAAGGGACAAGCCUAGACAAAGUAACGUAGCAAGGACUAGUAGUAAAAGACUCGUAGGCAUUGGAUCGGUGAUGGAUGAGUAUGGCGGAUGUGAUUCAUCAUGUAACAGCUGUAACACGGAGAGAUAAGUAACUAGCUCCCGUUCGUCAAUCUAAUGUAGGCAUGUAUUCCGUAUGUAGUCAUAUGUGCUUAGGGAAAAGAACUUGCAUGACAUCUAUUGUCCAUCCCUCUCGUGGCAGCGGGGUCCUAAUGGAAAUUACGAGAUAUUAAGGUUCUCCUUUUAAUAAAUAAUCGGACCGACACAUUAACACGUGGUGAAUACAUGAACUCCUCAUACUAUGGUCAUCUCCGGGAGUGGUUCCGGCUAUUGUCACUCUGGGGUUGCCGGGUCAUAACACAUAGUAGGUGACUACAACUUGCAAGAUAGGAUCUAAAACACACAUAUAUUGGCGACAACAUAAUAGGUUCAGAUCUGAAAUCAUGGCACUCAGGCCCUAGUGACAAGCAUUAAGCAUAGCCAAGUAGUAGCAACAUCCAUCUAGAACAUAGUGGGUACAAGGGAUCAAUCCCUGUCAAAACUAACUUGAUUACAUGAUAGAUCUCAUCCAACUCAUCACGUCUAGCAAGCCUACGAUGAGAUUACUCACGAACGAUGAAGAGCAUCAUGGAAUUGUCGAUGGACGAAGGUUGAUGAUGACGAUGGCGACGAUCUCCCCUCUCCGGAGCCCAGAACAGACUCCAGAUCUGCCCUCCAGAUGAAGAACAGGAGGUGGGGGCGCCUCCGUAUCGUAAAACAUGAUGAAACUCUCUCUGAUUUUUUUCCGGGCGAGACGGAAGAUAUAGAGCUGAGUUUGGGGGCGGUGGUGCCAUGUGGGCCCCACAAGCCCUCACGACGCGACCUAGGGGGUGGCCGCGGCCUGUGGGCUUGUGGCCCACUCGCACGCCCCCUCCGGUGGAUCUUUGCGCACGUAUUUUUCUUUUAUUCUAGAAAAAUUCUCUGAAAAUUUUCAGGACAUUCCGAGAACAUUUAUUUCUGCACAAAAACAACACCAUGGCAAUUCUGCUGAAAACAGCGCCAGUCCGGGUUAGUUCCAUUCAAAUUAUGCAAAUUAGAGUACAAAAUAAGGCAAAAGAGUUCGUAAAAGUAGAUACAACGGAGACCUAUCAAUUAUCAAGACCUUUUUCUGGCCCGUUGCCGGGGAGCAUAGCUUUAUUAUCUGAGUCACUUGGAAUUUAUAUCUGUUGAUCACAAUGAAGAAUCUGAAAGACGCUAAAACCAAGAUAUACCACUCAACUAUGAGGACAGGUAAGGAACUGCCAUCUAGCUCUGCACUUGAUUNNNNNNNNNNNNNNNNNNNNNNNNNNNNNNNNNNNNNNNNNNNNNNNNNNNNNNNNNNNNNNNNNNNNNNNNNNNNNNNNNNNNNNNNNNNNNNNNNNNNNNNNNNNNNNNNNNNNNNNNNNNNNNNNNNNNNNNNNNNNNNNNNNNNNNNNNNNNNNNNNNNNNNNNNNNNNNNNNNNNNNNNNNNNNNNNNNNNNNNNNNNNNNNNNNNNNNNNNNNNNNNNNNNNNNNNNNNNNNNNNNNNNNNNNNNNNNNNNNNNNAUGUUGCUUAUGAUGAUACUUUGCUUGAUACUAUUGUGCCACUUGGUGAAUUUCUUGAUGAACAAAUUGCUAGAGUGAAUGCUGAAACUGAUGAUAUUGGUGAAUCUGAUAAAAUUAGUGAAACUUAACACUAUGAUGCACCAUCUAGACAUAGGAAAGAAUUUGAAAGAUGAAAUAUAUAUGAUGACACGGAUAACUGAAUUGAAUUCACCGGAAAAGAUGACUAGAAUGAAUAAAGAUGANNNNNNNNNNNNNNNNNNNNNNNNNNNNNNNNNNNNNNNNNNNNNNNNNNNNNNNNNNNNNNNNNNNNNNNNNNNNNNNNNNNNNNNNNNNNNNNNNNNNAGGAUCGGGUGUGAUAGACUCAACGUUCACAUACAACGGGUGCAAAACAGUUGCACACGCGGAACACUCGGGUUAAGCUUGACGAGCCUAGCAUGUGCAGACAUGGCCUCGGAACACAUGAGACCGAAAGGUCGAGCAUGAAUCGUAUAGUUGAUAUGAUUAGCAUAAGAGAUGCUUACCACUGAAACUAUUCUCGACUCACGUGACGAUCGGACUUGAGAUAGUGGAUUUGGAUCAUGUACCACUCAAAUGACUAGAGAGAUGUACUUCUUGAGUGGGAGUUCUUAAGUGAUAUGAUUAAUUGAACUAAUUGUCAUGAACAUAGUCUAAUGGUCUUUGCGAAUUACGAUGUAGCUUGCGCUAUAGCUCUACUGUUUUUAUAUGUUCCUUGAGAAAAUUUAGUUGAAAGUUGAUAGUAGCAAACUUUUUGCAGACUGAGUCUGUGAAACCGAGGAUUGUCCUCGUUGCUGCGCAGAAGGCUUAUGUCCUUAAUGCACCACUCGGUGUGCUGCACCUCGAGCGUCGUCUGUAGAUGUUGUGAACAUCCAACAUACACGUUUCUGAUGACUAGACGAUAGUUCAGUACAAAAUACUUAAUGGCUUAGAAGCAAGGCGCCGAAGACGUUUUGAAACGUCACAGAACAUAAGAGAUGUUCCAAAGAGAUGAAAUUUUGAUUUCAUGCGUGUGCCCUUGUUAAGAGGUACGAGACCUCCGACAAGAUUAUUUGUCCACAAAGUAAAGGAGAAAAGCUCAAUCGUUGAGCGUGUGCUCAGAUUGUCUGAGUACGAGAAUCGCUUGAAUCAAGUGGGAGUUAAUCUUCCAGAUGAGAUAGUGAUGAUUCUCCAAGGUCACUGCCACCAAGCUGUGAGAGCUUCGUGAAGAACUAUAACAUAUCAAGGAUAGAUACAAUGAUCCUUGAGCGAUUCGCGAUGUUUGACACUGCGAAAGUAGAAAUCAAUAAGGAGCAUAAAUAGUUGGUGGUUAGUAAAACCACUAAGUUUCAAGAAAGGCAUGGGCUAGAAGGGAUACUUCGUGAAACAGCAAAACAGUUGCUGCACUAAUGAAGAGACCCAAGAUUAAACUCAAACCCGAGACUAAGUGCUUCUGUAAUGAGGGGAACAGUCACUGAGGCGGAGCAACUCUAGAUACUUGGUAGAUAAGAAGGCUGGCAAAAGUCGAAAGAAGUAUAUUUGAUAUACAUGAUGUUGAUGUGUACUUUACUAGUACUCCUAGUAGCAUGAGGGUAUUGGAUACCGGUUCGGUUGCUAAGUGAUUAGUAACACGAAAUGAAAGCUACGGCAUAAACGGAGACUAGCUAAAGGCGAGGUGACGAUACGUGUUGGAAGUGUUUCUAAGGUUGAUAUGAUCAAAUGUCGCACGCUCCCUCUACCAUCGGGAUUGGUGUUAAACCUAAAUAAUUGUUAUUUGGUGCUUGCGUUAAGCAUGAACAUGAUUGGAUCGUGUUUAUUGCAAUACGAUUAUUCAUUUAAAGAGAAUAAUGGUUACUCUAUAUUCUUGAAUAAUCACCUUCAAUGGUUUAUUGAAUCUCGAUCGUAGUGUUACAGAUGUUCAAGAUAUUGGUGCCAAAAGAUGCGAGGUAAUGAUGAUAGUACCACUUACUUGUGGCACUGCCGCUUGAGUCAUGUUGGUAUAAAUUGCAUGAAGAGGCUCCAUGCUGAUGGAUCUUUAUACUCACUUGAUUUUGAAUCACUACUGACAUGCAAAUCAUACCACAUGAGCAAGGCCUUGUUUUCAUUGAGAUGAAAUAAGAUAGUAACUUGUUGGAAGUGAUACAUUUUGAUGUAUGCAGUCCAAUGGGUGCUGAGGCACGCAGUGGAUAUCAUUAUGUUCUUACUUGAAUGACGAUUUGAGUAGAUACUAGAGUAUUUGCUUAAUGAAUCACAAGUCUGAAAUAUUGAAAAGUUCAAUUCUGUUUCGGAGUGAAGUUCAUCGUGACAAGAGGAUAAACUGUCUACAAUAUGAUCAUAGAAAUGAAUAUCUGAGUUACGAGUUUUGGUACGCAGUUAAGACAAUGUGGAAAUUGUUUCGCAGUUCAUGCCACCUAGAACAUCAUAGUGUGAUGAUGUGUCUGAACGUCAUAGCCACACACUAUUUGGUAUGGUGCAUGCAAUGAUGUCUCUUAUCGAAUUACGCUUAUCGUUUAUGGGUUAAGCAUUAGAGACAACCGCAUUCACUUUGAAUAGGGCACCACGUAUUUCCGUUGAGAUGACACAGUAUAGAAUGAGGUUUAGAGAAAUCUAAACUGUCGUUUCUUGAAAGUUUGGGGUUUUGACACUUAUGUGAAAAAGUUUCAGUCUGAUAAGCUCGAACCCAAAGCGGAUAAAUGCAUCUUCAUAGCAUAUCCAAAACAGUUGGGUACAUCUCCUAUCUCAGAUCCGAAAGCAAAGUGUUUGUUUCUAGAAAUGGAUCCUUUCUCGAGGANNNNNNNNNNNNNNNNNNNNNNNNNNNNNNNNNNNNNNNNNNNNNNNNNNNNNNNNNNNNNNNNNNNNNNNNNNNNNNNNNNNNNNNNNNNNNNNNNNNNNNNNNNNNNNNNNNNNNNNNNNNNNNNNNNNNNNNNNNNNNNNNNNNNNNNNNNNNNNNNNNNNNNNNNNNNNNNNNNNNNNNNNNNNNNNNNNNNNNNNNNNNNNNNNNNNNNNNNNNUAUUGAACCAUCACUUCGACUAGUGUGUAGCAGGGCGCAGGAAGUUGUUCCUGUGGCGCCUACACCAAUUGAAGUGAAAGCUGAUGAUGGUGAUCAUCGAGCAUCGGAUCAAGUUACUACAAGCCUCGUAGGUUGACAAGGUCGCGUACUACUACAGAGUGGUACGGUAACCCUGUCUUGGAGGUCAUGUUGUUGAGCAACAGUGAACCUACGAGUUAUGGAGAAAGCAAUGGUGGGCCCAGAUUCCGACAAAUGGCUGGAAGCCAUGAAAUCCGAGAGAGGAUCCAUGUAUGAAAAUAAAGUGUAGACUUUGGAAGAACUACUUGAUGGUCAUAGGACUAUUGAGUAAAGAUGGAUCUUUAAAGGAAGACAGACAAUGAUAGUGAUAAGUCACUAUUAAGAAAAUCUUGACUUGUCGCAAAGAUGUUUCCGACAAGAUGAAAAAGUUGACUAUGACGAGACUUUCUCACUCGUAGCGAUGCCAAAAGUCUGUUAGAAUUAUGUAAGUAGUUGCUGCAUUAUUUGUGAAAUAUUUCAUGUAGGAUGUCAAAACAUUGUUUCCUCGAUGGUUUCCUUGAGCAAACAUUGUAUGAGAUACAACCAUGAGGUUUUGUCGAUCCUAAAGAUACUAGCAAGUAUGCAAGCUCCAGCGAUCCUUAAAUGGACUGGUGCAAGCAUCUCGGAGUUGGAAUAUGCACUUUGAUGAGAUGAUCAAGGAUUUUGGGGUGUACAAGGUUUAUGAAAAACUUGUAUUUCCAAAGAAGUGAGUGGGAGCACUAUAGAAUUUCUGAUAAGUAUAUGUGGUUGACAUAUUGUGGAGCAGAAGUAAUGUAGAAUUUCUGUAAAGCAUACAAGGUUGUUUGAAAGGAGUUUGAAAGGAGUUUUCAAAGGAAUACCUGGAUUGAGCUACUUGAACGUUGAGCAUCAAAGAUCUAUGGAGAUAGAUCGAAAGCGCUUAAUGGAAGUUUCAACAAGAUGCAUGCCUUGACAAGUUUCGAAGGAGUUCAAAAUAGAUCAACAAAGAAGAAGUUGCGUUGUAAGGUGUGAAUUUGAGUAAGACUCAAAACCCGACCACGGCAGAAUAAAGAGAAUAGACGAAGUUCGUCUUCUAUGCCUUAGCCGUAGACUCUAAAGUAUGCCAUGCUGAGUACCGCACCUGAUGUGUGCCUUGCAGCAAGUCUGUUGAGAGGUACAGAGAGUGAUCCAUGAUUGAAUCACUAGCAGCGGUCAAAAUUUAUCCUUAGUAACUGAUGGACUAAGGAAUUUUUCUCGAUUAUGGAGGUGGUUAAAGAGUUCGUUGUAAAGGGUUACGUCGAUGUAAGCUUUGACACUAAUCCGAAUAACUAUGAGUAGUGAAACGGAUUCGUAUAGUGGAGUAGAUAUUUGGAGUAUUUUCGAAUAGCACAUAGUAGCAGCAUCUAUAAGAUGACAUAAAGAUUUGUAAAGAACACAUGGUUCUGAAAGUUUCAGAACCGUUGACUAAAACCGCUCUCACGAGCAAGACGUGAUCAGACCCCAUGACUAUAUGGGUGUUGGAUUCGUUGGAAUCACAUGGUGAUGUGAACUAGAUUAUUGACUCUAGUGCAAGUGGGAGACUGUUGGAAAUAUGCCCUAGAGGCAAUAAUAAAUUAGUUAUUAUUAUAUUUCUUUGUUCAUGAUAAUCGUUUAUUAUCCAUGCUAUAAUUGUAUUGAUUGGAAACACAAUACCUGUGUGGAUACAUAGACAAAACACUAUCCCUAGUAAGCCUCUAGUUGACUAGAUCGUUGAUCAAAGAUGGCCAAGGUUUCCUGGCCAUAGGCAAGUGUUGUUACUUGAUAAUGGGAUCACUUCAUUGGGAGAAUCAUGUGAUGGACUAGAACCAAACUAAUAGACGUAGCAUGUUGAUCGUGUCAUUUUGUUGCUACUAUUUUCUGCGUGUCAAGUAUUUGUUCCUAUGACCAUGAGAUCAUAUAACUCACUGACACCGGAGGAAUGCUUUGUCUGUAUCAAACGUCGCAANNNNNNNNNNNNNNNNNNNNNNNNNNNNNNNNNNNNNNNNNNNNNNNNNNNNNNNNNNNNNNNNNNNNNNNNNNNNNNNNNNNNNNNNNNNNNNNNNNNNNNNNNNNNNNNNNNNNNNNNNNNNNNNNNNNNNNNNNNNNNNNNNNNNNNNNNNNNNNNNNNNNNNNNNNNNNNNNNNNNNNNNNNNNNNNNNNNNNNNNNNNNNNNNNNNNNNNNNNNNNNNNNNNNNNNNNNNNNNNNNNNNNNNNNNNNNNNNNNNNNNNNNNNNNNNNNNNNNNNNNNNNNNNNNNNNNNNNNNNNNNNNNNNNNNNNNNNNNNNNNNNNNNNNNNNNNNNNNNNNNNNNNNNNNNNNNNNNNNNNNNNNNNNNNNNNNNNNNNNNNNNNNNNNNNNAAUAGGUAUGCGGAUACCGACGAUCGAAUCUCGGGCAAGUAACAUACCGAAGGACAAAGGGAAUGACAUACGGGAUUAUAUGAAUCCUUGACACUGAGGUUCAACCGAUAAGAUCUUCGGAGAAUAUGUAGGAUCCAAUAUGGGCAUCUAGGUCCCGCUAUUGCAUAUUGACCGAGGAAUCACUCGGGUCAUGUCUACAUAGUUCUCGAACCCGCAGGGUCUCCACACUUAAGGUUCGACGUUGUUUUAUGCGUAUUUGAGUUAUAUGGUUGGUUACCGAAUGUUGUUCGGAGUCCCGGAUGAGAUCCAGGACGUCACGAGGAGCUCCAGAAUGGUCCGAAGGUAAAGAUUGAUAUAUAGGAAGUCCUGUUUUGGUCACCGGAAAAGUUUCGGGCUCAUCGGUAUUGUACCAGGAGUGCCGGGAGGGGUGCCGGGGACCAUCGGGAGGGGUGUCACGCCCCAAGGGGUCUCAUGGGCUAUGGGAAGAGAUAAACCAGCCCCUAGUGGGCUGGAAUAAGUUCCCACUAAGUCCCAUAAGGUUUGAGAACAAAAAAACACAAGGUGGAAAGAGUUUCCAAGUGGGAAGGUGGAAUCCUACUCCUAGUAGGAUUGGAGUAGGACUCCUCCACGUCCAAUUUCGGCCAAACCUUGAGGGUUUGAGGCUGCCUCUUCCCCCCCUCCCUCCUAUAUAUACUGAGGUAUUAGGGCUGAUUUGAGACAACUUUCGCCACGGCAGCCCGACCACAUACCUCCAUGGUUUUUCCUCUAGAUCGCGUUUCUGCGGAGCUCGGGCGGAGCCCUGCUGAGAUUAGAUCACCACCAACCUCCGGAGCGCCGUCACGCUGCUGGAGAACUCAUCUACCUCUCCGUCUCUCUUGCUGGAUCAAGAAGGCUGAGAUCAUCGUCGAGCUGUACGUGUGCUGAACGCAGAGGUGCCGUCCGUUCGGCACUAGAUCGUGGGACGGAUCGNNNNNNNNNNNNNNNNNNNNNNNNNNNNNNNNNNNNNNNNNNNNNNNNNNNNNNNNNNNNNNNNNNNNNNNNNNNNNNNNNNNNNNNNNNNNNNNNNNNNNNNNNNNNNNNNNNNNNNNNNNNNNNNNNNNNNNNNNNNNNNNNNNNNNNNNNNNNNNNNNNNNNNNNNNNNNNNNNNNNNNNNNNNNNNNNNNNNNNNNNNNNNNNNNNNNNNNUCCACUACAUCAACCGCAUUCACUAACGCUUCUGCUGUGCGAUCUACAAGGGUAGGUAGAUCGGAAAUCCCCUCUCGUAGAUGGACAUCACCAUGAUAGGUCUUCGUGCGCGUAGGAAAAUUUUUGUUUCCCAUGCGACGUUCCCCAACAUAUAUAGGAGGAGAGGAGGGAGAGGGUUAUGCCCUAGGGCUUCCCUUUCUUCCUUGCACAAGGAGGAGAGGAGGAGUCCUCCUCCAAUCCUAGUAGGAGUAGGAUUCCUCCUUUCCACUUGGAAACUCUUUCCACCUUGUGUUUUUUCCUUCUAAAAUCUUAUGGGCAUUAGUGGAACUUAUUCCACCCCACUAGGGGCUAGUUUAUCUAUUCCCACAGCCCAUGAGGUCCCUUGGGGCGUGACACCCCUCCCGAUGAUCCCCGGCACUCCCGAAACACUACCGAUGAGCCCAAAACUUUUCCGGUGACCAAAAUUGGACUUCAUAUAUAUCAAUCUUUACCUCCGGACCAUUUCGGAGCUUCCCGUGACGUCCUGGAUCUCAUCCGGGACUCCAAACAACCUUCGAUCACCAACACAUAUAACUCAACUAUACCGAAACGUCACUGAACCUUAAGUGUGCAGACCAUGUGGGUUCGAGAACUAUGCAGAUAUGACCUCAGACACUCUCUGGUCAAUAACCAAUAGCGGGACCUAGAUGUUCAUAUUGGCUCCCACAUAUUCUACGAAGAUCUCUAUCUGUUGAACCUCUAUGUCAAGGAUUCAGUUAAUCCCGUAUGAUGUUCCCUUUGUCCUUCGGUAUGUUACUUGCCCGAGAUUCGAUCGUCGGUAUCUCCAUACCUAGUUCAAUCUCGUUACCGGCAAGUCUCUUUACUCGUUCCGUAAUACAAGAUUCCGUAACUAACUACUUAGUCACAUUGCUUGCAAGGCUUGUGUUGAUGUUGUAUUACCGAGUGGGCCCCGAGAUACCUCUCUGUCACACGGAGUGACAAAUCCCAGUCUUGAUCCAUGCGAACCCAACAUACACCUUCGGAGAUACCUGUAGAGCACCUUUAUAGUCACUCAGUUACGUUGCGAAGUUUGAUACACACAAGGUAUUCCUUCGAUGUCUGGGAGUUGCAUGAUCUCAUGGUCAUAGGAACAGACACAUUGACAUGCAGAAAACAGUAGCAAUAAAUUGACAUGAUCAUAUGCUACGUUUAUAGUUUGGGUCUUGUCCAUCACAUCAUUCUCCUAAUGAUGUGAUCCCGUUAUCAAGUGGCAACACUUGUCCAUGGCUAGGAAACCUUAACCAUCUUUGAUCAACGAGCUAGUCAACUAGAGGCUUACUAGGGACAGUGUUUUGUCUAUGUAUCCACACAUGUAUUUGAGUUUUCAAUCAAUACAAUUAUAGCAUGGAUGAUAAACGAUUAUCAUGAACAAGGAAAUAUAAUAAUAACCAAUUUAUUAUUGCCUCUAGGGUAUAUUUCCAAUAGUCUUCCACUUGCACUAGAGUCAAUAAUGUAGUUCAUAUCACUAUGUGAUUUUGAUGAAUCUAACACCCAUACAGUUCAUGUCUUGCUUGUGAUAGAGGUUUUAGUCAACAGGUCUGAACCUUUCAGAUCUGAGUGUGCUUUACAAAUAUCUAUGUCAUCCUAUAGGUGUUGCUACCAACGUGCCAUUUUGGAACUAUUCCAAAUGACUGCUGCACUAUACGAAUUCGGUUUACUACUCAUAGUUAUUCGGAUUAGUGUCAAAGCUUGCAUUGACGUAACUCUUUACGACGAACUCUUUAAUCACCUCCAUAAUUGAGAAAAAUUCCUUAGUCCACUAGUUACUAAGGAUAGCUUUUGACCGCUGUCCAGUAAUCCAUUCCUGGAUCACUUUCGUACCCCUUGACAAAUUCAUGGUAAGGCACCCAUCAGGUGUGGUACACAACAUAACAUACUAUAGAGCAUAUAGCUAAUGCAUAGGGGACGACCUUCGUCCUUUCUCUUUCUUCUGUCGUGGUCGGGCUUUGAGUCUUACUCAAAUUCACACCUUACAACACAGCUAAGAACUCCUUCUUUGCUGAUCUAUUUUGAACUCCUUCAAAAACUUGUCAAGGCAUGAAUUUCAUUGAAAGUUAUAUUUAGCAUUCUGAUCUAUCUCUAUAGAUCUUGAUGCUCAAUGUUCAAGAAGCUCUAUCCAGGUUUUCCUUUAAAAAACUCCUUUCAAACAACCCUUUAUGCUUUCCAGAAAUUCUACAUGACUUCCGAUCAACAAUAUGUCAACCACAUAUACUUAUCAGAAAUUCAAUAGUGCUCUCACUCACUUCUUUGGAAAUACAAGUUUCUCAUAAACCUUGUAUAAACCCAAAAGCUUUUAUAAUCUCAUCAAAACGUAUAUUCCAACUCCAAGAUGCUUGCACUGGUCCAUAGAAGGAUCGCUGGAGCUUGCAUACUUGUUAGCAUCCUUAGGAUCGACAAAACCUUCUGGUUGUAUCACAUACAACCUUUCCUCAAGGAAACCGUUGAGGAAACAAUGUUUUGACACCCUAUGUGCAAUAUUUCAUAAAUAAUGCAGCAAUUGCUAACAUAAUUCCAACAGAUUUUUAGCAUCGCUAUGAGUGAGAAAUACUCAUCAUAGUAAACUCUUUGAACUUAUCGGAAACAUCUUUGCGACAAGUCGAGCUUUUCUUAAUGGUGACUUUUCACCAUCGUCGUCUGUCUCCCUUUUAAAGAUCCAUCUUUACUUAAUGGUCUUACGACCAUUAAGUAGUUCUUCCAAAAUCUACACUUUGUUUUCAUACAUGGAUCCUCUCUCGGAUUUCAUGGCCUCGAUCCAUUUGCCGGAAUCCGGGCCCACCAUCGCUUCUCCAUAGCUCGUAGGUUCAUUGUUGUUCAACACCAUGACCUCCAAGACAGGGUUACCAUACCACUUUGUAGCAGUACGCGACCUUGUCGACCUACGAGGUUUGUAGUAACUUGAUCCAAAGCUUAAUGAUCACUAUCAUCAUUUCCACUUCAAUUGGCGUAGGCGCCACAGGAACAACUUCCUGCGCCCUCCUACACACUGGUUGAAGUGACGGUUCAAUAACCCCAUCAAGUUCCACCACCCUCCCACUCAAUUCUUUCAAGAGAAACUUUUCCUCGAGAAAGGACCCGUUUCUAGAAACAAACACUUUGCUUUCGAUUCUGAGAUAGGAGGUAUACCCAACUGUUUUGGGUGUCCCAUGAAGAUGCAUUUAUCCGCUUUGGGUUCGAGCUUAUCAUGCUGAAACUUUUCCACAUAAGCAUCGCAACCCAAACUUUUAAGAAACGACAGCUUAGGUUUAUCCAAACCAUAGUUCAUACGGUGUCAUCUCAACGGAAAUAUAUGGUGCCCUAUUUAAAGUGAAUGCGGUUGUCUCUAAUGCAUAACCCAUAAACGAUAGUGGUAAUUCGACAAGAGACAUCAUAGUAUGCACCAUAUCAAAUAGGGCGCGGUUAUGACGUUCGGACACACCAUCACACUAUGGUGUUCUAGGUGGCAUGAGAUGUUAAACAUUUUUCAUAUUUGUCUUAAUUGUGUACCAAACUCGCAACUCAGAUAUUCAUCUCUAUGAUCAUAUCGUAGACAUGUUACCCUCUUGUCACGACGAUCUUCAACUUCACUCUAAAAUAGCUUGAACUUUUCAAUAUCUCAGACUUGUGAUUCAUCAAGCAAAUACUCCUGUAUCUACUCAAAUCGUCAGUGAAGUAAGAACAUAACGAUAUCCACUCCGUGCCUUAUCACUCAUUGGAUUGCACACAUCAAAAUGUAUUACUUCCAACAAGUUACUUCCUUGUUCCAUCUCACUGGAAAAAUGAGGCCUUCAGUCAUCUUGCCCACGUGGUAUGAUUUGCAUGCCUCAAAUGAUUCAAAAUCAAGUGAGUCCAAACGAACCAUCUGCAUGGAGUUUCUUCAUGCGUUUAUACCAAUAGGCAUGGUUUGCAUGUCUCAAACGUUUCAAAAAUGAGUGAGUACAAAGAUCUAUCAGCAUGGAGCUCCUUCAUGCAUUUUAUACCAAUAUAACUCAAGUGGCAGUGCCACAAGUAAGUGGUACUAUCAUUACUACUUUGUAUCUGUUGGCAUUAAUAUGACAAACAUGUGUACCACUACGAUCGAGUUUCAAUAAACCACUGAAGGUAUUUAUUCAAGCAAAUAGAAUAACCAUUAUUCUCUUUAAAUGAAUCAUCGUAUUGCAAUAAACACGAUCUAAUCAUGUUCAUGCUCAACGCAAACACUAAAUAACAAUUAUUUAGGUUUAACACUAAUCCCGAUGGUAGAGGGAGUGUGCGAUGUUUUGAUCACAUCAACCUUGGAAACACUUCCAACACAUAUCGUCACGUCGCAUUUAGCUAGUCUCUGUUUAUUCCGUAGCUUUUAUUUCGAGUUACUAACACUUAGCAACCGAACUGGUAUCUAAUACCCUCGUGCUACUAGGAGUACUAGUAAAGUACACAUCAAUAUCAUGUAUAUCCAAUAUACUUCUGUCGACUUUGCGAGCUUUCUCAUCUACCAAGUAUCCAGGAUAGUUCCUCUUCAGUGACUGUUCCCCUCAUUACAGAAGCACUUAGUCUCGGGUUUGGGUUCAACCUUGGGUCUCUUCACUACAGCAGCAACUGGUUUGUCAUUUCGUGAAGUGUCCCUUCUUGCCCUUGCCCUUCUUGAAACUAGUGGUUUUACUAAUUAACCAUCAACAAUUGAUGCUCCUUUUUUAUUUCUACUUUCGUGCUGUCAAACAUUGCGAAUAGCUCAAGAAUCACCAUAUCUAUCCCUGAUCUGUUAUAGUUCAUCACGAAGCUCUAGUAGCUUGGUGGCGGUGACUUUGGAGAACCAUCACUAUCUCAUCUGGAAGAUCAACUCCCACUCGAUUCAAGCGAUUGUAGCACUGAGACAAUGUGAGAACAUGCUCAACGAUUGGGCUUUUCUCCCUUACUUUGUAGACAAAGAAUCUUGUCGGANNNNNNNNNNNNNNNNNNNNNNNNNNNNNNNNNNNNNNNNNNNNNNNNNNNNNNNNNNNNNNNNNNNNNNNNNNNNNNNNNNNNNNNNNNNNNNNNNNNNNNNNNNNNNNNNNNNNNNNNNNNNNNNNNNNNNNNNNNNNNNNNNNNNNNNNNNNNNNNNNNNNNNNNNNNNNNNNNNNNNNNNNNNNNNNNNNNNNNNNNNNNNNNNNNNNNNNNNNNNUUGGAACAUCUCAUAUGUUCCGUGAUGUUCAAAGCAUCUUUUGGCGCCUCAAUUCUAAGCCUUAAUCAUUACGCACUGAACUAUCACAUAGUCAUUAAAACGUGUAUGUCAGAUGUUCGCAAUAUCCACACACGACGNNNNNNNNNNNNNNNNNNNNNNNNNNNNNNNNNNNNNNNNNNNNNNNNNNNNNNNNNNNNNNNNNNNNNNNNNNNNNNNNNNNNNNNNNNNNNNNNNNNNNNNNNNNNNNNNNNNNNNNNNNNNNNNNNNNNNNNNNNNNNNNNNNNNNNNNNNNNNNNNNNNNNNNNNNNNNNNNNNNNNNNNNNNNNNNNNNNNNNUGCAUUAAGGACAUAAGCCUUCUGCGCAGCAAUGAGGACAAUCCUCAGUUUACGGACCCAGUCCGUAUAAUUGCUACUAUCAUCUUUCAACUAAAUUUUCUCUAGGAACAUAUCAAAAACAGUAGAGCGCAAGCUACAACAUAAUUUGCAAAGUCCUAUUGACUAUGUUCAUGAUAAUUGAGUUUAGCUGAUCAUAUUACUAAUAACUUCCACUUAAAUAGACAUCCAUCUAGUCGUUUGAGUGGCACAUGAUCCAAAUCCACUAACUCAAGUACGAUCAUCACGUGAGUUGAGUAUAGUUUCAGUGGUGAACAUCUCCAUGUUGGUUAGAACAAUACAUAUAACAUUAAAGUUUUUUACAGAUCCCAAAUUUGUUUUUUUGCUGAGGGAUACUCAUAUGUCCAAAUGAUCUGAAAUUUGGAGCUAACCUCACACACCAAAUUCUCUACCAUGCAUUUUUUUGGAAUUUUGGAAUUUUUCUAGUAUUUGUUUUGGUGUAAGGAUUUACUUUUUUUGACCUUGUCACCCUUUUUCUCUUGGUUUUUCAAGAUAAGAUACAAUAAUAAAUCUAAGAAGGUUUGGAAGUUGAUGUCAUCGAUAAACAAAAGACUUAUGAAGCUUUACAACGUAAUUAGAUGUGAUUGCUAGUUGUAUGUGUUGAAUGUCAUGUGAUGUGAGGUAGUACGUUUGUACUUUUGUAUGUUCUAUGAUAAAGCUUGAAAAUAAAUCAUAUAGUGGAUUUUGAAUUUGCAUUUUUGUGUUAUGUUUGAUUGUCAAAAGAUUAUGUCUAGCUGAUUUUACGAUUAAUUAACACGCUGUUAAGAUCACACAUUGCACACCGUUUUUUGGAUUCAAGUGUGUGUGAUGGCAUUUACAUCACACAUAGUUUUUUAUUUUUAAUCAUGUGCAAUGAAUCGCACAUUACAUAUAAUUUUUGUGAAAUAACCAUGUGUGAUCCUAAUCCAAACUGCAAACAGUUUUUGUGUUGAACUGUGUGGGAUGUAACCCCACUCACAAACAAUUUUGGUAGCGUGUACGAUGGAUCCCCUUUAUAGCCCGUUAUCAAGGUGACGGUUUGAAACCGCAUCACUGAAAGAGGUUAAAAACCGUUUGCUUAGGACCUUCCCGCACGAGUGAGGAUAGCCAUUGACCUAUAACUCUUAUGCAUUUCCAUCCUACAUGAGUUUUGCACUACAUAAGACAUGUUAAUCAUCUUUAACAUGUUCAUUUCUUGCAUCUAAGUGACUAACAUGAUAUAAAUGAACACCUGUUACAAAAAGUUACACUUUGUAAGAUCCAGAGUGAUUAAUGCCGACAUCAUAUGAAUAUGAUAUAAUUAUGAAAGCUAGAAAAUCUUAUGUCUACUUUAAGUCCAUGUCGUUGGAUGUCAACAGAACUUUGCAACUUUUUGUAACUCCGACUUCCAGCUAGUAGCACUAACAGCUAGUUUUCCUGUCAAUUCUGUUUUGUCAUCCUGCUUAGAACGAGACCGUCCUCGGCUAUCAAGUUCAAACCGACUCACUCGGUGCCGAUCUUAUACCAUAUAUAUAUAACAGUACAAAAUACAAGUAGCUGCAACUUUUUUAGUAGCCUAAAAGCAGAGCCCAAAUUAGAGAACAUGUGCUCUUGCUACUGACAACAAACAUUAUGAGUGCCAAAUUUAAAGAGUAUAUCAGUAUAUAUAUUUGCAAAUGCAAUGCUUUGUUGACAUUCAUGGAUUUGAUGAAAUUAACAAGUGUCAACCUGGCAUAACAUUGCCUUAGGUACUUAAGUGUUUCAAAACAUAAUGAUGCAUAUAUUUAGUGGGUAUAAGGAUGGCAUGGACUUAGACAUACUCCCUUCGUCCGCGAAACACUGCACGUUUAGGUUCCACCUUUUUCCCUAAAAGACUGUACGUCUGCGUUUUUUAGGACAAUUUUACAUUUGUCCCCUUGGUCUACACCUCGAGGUAACGCGAGGCAACAACUUAGUCCAUUAAUUCCCCAAUCAUCUUGCAUUUUGCUUGCUUUACUAAUUGCUUUGGCCCAUAGAGUAAAUGUGGUAGUGUGAAUCAAAUCGUUCUCCUAGCUAGUGGAGCAACAUACCUAGGGGAAGUAGAGGUUUCUUUGCAAAAUAUUUAAUCUAUCUUAAAAAACACAGAAGUGCAGUCUUUUGCGGACGGAGGGACUAAGAUUUUCUAACUUUCAUUGUUAGAUCAUAUCCAUAUGAUGUCCGUAUUAAUUAUUAUGUAUCUUACAAUACAACUUUCUAUAACAGAAAUUCAUUAUUAGUCACUUAGAUGCAAGAAAUGAACAUUUUAAAGAUGAUUAACAUUGCAAUCAUAUGAAUGACGUGAAAAUACAUAUUAUGUAGUGCAAAAUUCAUGUAGGAUGCAAAUGCAUAAAAGCUAUAGACCAACGGCUAUUAUCAUAAAGUUCAUAAGUUUUAAUAAAUUUUGCCAGUUAUAUUAUGAUGCAUUUUUGCAGCAAAGUUUUUAUCAAGCAAAUUGAAAGUAACAUAGGUAAAAAUGCCAUCAUUGUGUAAAACACAGAAAAAAACACAACAUUCAUAUAAGGAACUUUUUAUCGGAUAUACAGAUUAGAAACUAGAACAAUUUUAAUACAAAAUAGUAUGAGUUCUUUUAUCUAGUGCUGCACAAUGUAGUGUGAUUCUUUUAAAUUAGACGCUGCAUAACUAGUAAUGGACCUGGGAUGCCACACUGACUCUGGAAAGCAUUACAUAUAGUACUACCUUUAUCCGAAAAUACUUGUUUUAGAGAUGAAUGUAUCUAGACUUAUUUUAAUUAUAAAUACAUUCAUUAUAUGUAUUUUUAGGACAAAUAUUUUCGGACGGAGGGAGUACAUCGCUUAAUUGUGAGACGUCACACAAAACGAUCCGUUGGAUGGAUUUUUUCAUCCACGGUUCAUUUUGUAAAAUUGUUUCGUUCUUAGGUUAAUUUUAUCUAUUUUACCGCGUGCGGCUCUUUUUUUUUUCCAGGAAUACCGUGCGCGACUCGGGCUCGUGCUGAUCCGCACGCUCGUUCAUAGUUUGUCAGCAAGGCCAGACCACCUGUCUGAACCAGGAUUGAACACGCCUUUCCGCUUUCGCGGGUGUAGCAGUGAAGGGGAUGAGGACCAGAGUACCUGACAGAUCAUUACGAGCCCUUAUCCAUUGUCGCACCUUCACUAUGAUCUUGUAGGCAGUAGGCCAGCGGCCAUGCCCUUCCCCUCCCGUGUGACCGAGUUUAUUGUCGUUGCAUGUAUGCAUGUCUAGCCGCUAAGUUAGAGCAUCUCUAACAGAUGGUUUAAAUUUUACAUCUUUAAUUUUAAACCCCCAAAAUUUAGACCAUUUUAGAAUUUCGAAAAACGCUCAACUACAACAGUUGGUCUAAAUUGAUGAUCCGAAAGAGCAACUUCAAUAGAUGGUCCAAAUUAAAGAUGUAAAAAUCUGAAAACGAUCGCGCGGCUGCUGCCAACCACUGUUCAGCCGCGGUUUUGCAUUGUACUAGCAUCAAAAAUUUAAAAAUAAAGUGCAUCAUCAUCAUAGUUUCAAUCGAAACUGCAGCACCAUCAUAAUAUGAAAUCCCUCUACCAAAAGAGCAUCGUCUCAAUCAAAGUUUUUCGCCCUAGAAAUUGAAAUGCACAUGAAUAUUACUCAUGCGGGUCAUCAACACCACCAGCCUUGUGAAUCGUGGUACGAUCAUCUUCACCACCUUCUUUGUCGACGUUCUCAACAAGCGGUGAACUCUCAUUGCCGUGAGCACCAUCGGAAGCAUCUUCAGUGCGUCUCAUACGGGUCGUCACCCCGAGCCGCCGCCUUGGAGAGCUUCACCGGCCGCGUAGAACUGUCGGUCGGGUUGCGGCUGCGGUUGGCCGCCCGUUUUCCGCCGCCUCGUCCCUUCGUCGGCUUCGCCGCCGGCGCGGUGGCCACCGACCGGGGCGGCGCUAAUCUGGGCCGGCUGGCGGGGGGCGACGGCAUGGCAUCGGUUGCAGGCGAGAAGGCAGCGACGGCAACGGCGGCGGCCACGUGGGUCAGCCCACCGGCUGCGGCGGCGGCGGAGAAGGCGGCGGGAUCGUCGCCUUUGGCCAUGGCGGCGCUAAUCCGGGCUGGCGGGCGGGGGGCGACGGCAUGCCAGCGGUUGCAGGCGAGAUGGCAGCGGCGGCGGCCACGUGGGUCAGCCCACCGGCUGUGGCGGCGGCGGAGAAGGCGGCGGGGUCGUCGCCUUUGGCCAUGGCGGCGCUGGACGGCGGGGUGCGGCGGCGGGCGGGCGGGAAGUGGGCGGACAGACGCGGGCGGGCGGGAAGGGAAAAGAAGUGGUGGUUGGGCUUUCGCGGGUGGCAGCUGGUCUUGGACCAGAUGCACCUCGUGAUGUAAAUUUACAUCGUGAGAUGUUGCGUUUUACAUCACGAGGAGGCCGCGGUCUAAUUUUUUACAUAUGGACCGUGUGUUAGAGAAGCGUUUUUUUGUCUCAGACAGUACAAAAGUUAGGUGUUUUUAUAUUUGAACCGUUUAUUAGAGUUAGGUAUUUUUACAUUUGAACCGUUUAUUGGAGAUGCUCACUACUAGUAUUGGCAGUGUAGACCUAUCUCCUAUCAGUUUCGACGCACGUUUCAAGUGACUCGACGUAGGUGAUUGGCAGGGCAGAGGCGCGUCGAUGAUUAACAGCUGCUGCUCAAGGACUCGAGAUGAGUUCAGCACACAGUAAACGUACCACGAACGAAUAAUAAUCCAACCAACAAGCCGUUGCAAUUGCAAAGUGGAACAGAGAGUAGCAAUCACAUGAAGAACGGAACAAGAUGAGGCAUAUACUAUUACACACGAAUUGAGCGUGAGCGUGAUCGUGACAAAGAGCAACAGAAGAAUCUACCACCGGCUACAUUUCACCUUAUCCCCCACACCAGUACUUAUUUAUCAUACAGUACAGACGCUUCCAUCUUCCCUAUCUCCGGUCAUCUUCCUCCGGCGAUCGACGUAUACACGGGCUGUCCAAUGCUAGCUUGCUGGACGGACGGACGGACAAGGGCACUACAUGGAGCACUCGGCGGGGACGCCCUGAGCGAACCUCUUGGGGUCGGUGCAGUAGUUGUAGAUCAUGUAGUUGCUCUGUACCCACCGCAUCCGCUGCUGCCGCGUCAGGUCCAGCUCCUGGUUGUACCACUCGCCGGCCGCGCCUGUGCCGGGCGCGACGUCCGUGCCGACGCUGGCGCCGCAGUGAGGCCGCCCGCCCGCGGUCACCACGCACGCGUCUGCCUUGAAGCCGCGAUAGGAGGCCGAGAACGGGGCGUGGGACCAGUCCGUCUUGACGCGGCCGCCCUGCGUUGCCCAGUCGUCGGCGUUCCAGAGGCUGGAGUAGAGCCGCAUGGGCUGGUUCUUGGGGAAGGCGAUCCCUUUUCCCUCCAGGUUCUUGAAGUCUCUGAUCGGCAUGUCGUCCACCAUGAAGCUGCAUUGUGUACACCAAAUCGGUCAGUCCAUGUGCUGCAGCCUGCACCUGCAGCAGCUAGAUGGCCGGUGAUCAUGAUCGACCAACUUACAUGAUGUGCUUUGGGUUCCAGAGGAUGGAGUAGGUGUGGAAAUCGUUGGUGGGAUCGAACCAGAGGCGAAACUGCUGCUCCCGUUGGCCUUGCCCCUGCGUGAACACGUUGGUGUGCAGCGUGUAGGGCUCGCCGGUGACGUUGCCCAGGAACUCGAAGUCGAUCUCGUCGUGCGUCGGCCCCUGCGACGACAGCUGCACGUACAUUCAUACACACCAAACCGAUCAAGUUAGGCUUAGGCACGCACAUCAACCAAGCAAGCAACCGUGUCAGAUGUUGGCCUACGUAGUAUGCGGUGACGGUGCCGGCAGAGUUGCCGGGGACGAGCUUGAGCUGCAUGUCGAUCUUGCCGAAGAGGUACUCGUGCUUGGACUGGAACCCGGAGCCGGACACCUUGUCCAGCGCCAGCGUCAGGAGCUGACCAUUGUUCAGGAUCUUGCCACGCCCGUCGCCCCAGGUGAUGUCGAACUCCUUGUCGAAGCUCGCCGCCGCCAGGGCGCACCAGG
rnacentral:lncRNA from 1 species